UACAGAGGUCUCAAGCGUUUGUUCGGAUUCAUUGGGCGUAAAGGGUGUGUAGGUGGCGCGCUAAGUCGGGUGUGAAAUUUCGGAGCUUAACUCCGAAACUGCAUUCGAUACUGGCGUGCUUGAGGACUGGAGAGGAGACUGGAAUUCAUGGUGUAGCAGUGAAAUGCGUAGAGAUCAUGGAGGAAGACCAGUGGCGAAGGCGGGUCUCUGGACAGUUCCUGACAGCUGAGACACGAAGGCCAGGGGAGCAAACGGG
rnacentral:rRNA from 1 species